UGAACGCAGGCUCAGAAUUCUGGAGCUCCAAGUGAACCUUAUCAAUUACCUGAUGGAGCGCGUAUUUAACAGAGGGAAGGAUCUGACACUCCAGGCUCAUCUCUCCUGCUCAGUUACUCUCAGCCCCUAUUUGGAGCUGAAGAAAAAGUCAGUCUACACGUUCCUCUUUGGGGGACUUGCGGGGAGUGAUAAGGUAGGGCAGGUCUCCGGCUUGCCCCUUUAAAAAAGCCGACCAGCAGCUUUUGCCAAGUCACUGGGUUCAUUUCAGUUUUUGCCCAUCCCCCGCGCAUCUAGACUCUGAUUGGCCCCUGGGGAAGGAGCAGCCUGCUCAUUGGUCUCCACCUUCGAAUCUCUUCUCUAAGUAGGCCUGAGUCAGUGAAGAGCUUUGGAGGGCGGGACUGAAUGGGGGUUAAUCAGAGGAUGCGAUUGCUGACCAUUUGCACUUUGGCAUGGCCCAUCCCCUAAUUUCUGACCAGAAGCCCUCCCUCUACCCUCAGGUGAGGACUGUGCUGUGAAUCUUGUUAGAAAGCGACCUCUUGGGAGGCUCUGGGGGCUCUUCUGGGACUGGGAAGAGACAUCCAAGACAAAAAGCCUCCUGUGGUUAGGAAGAGCCCCCAAGAGGAGUGGGCUGGGUCUCUCCAGUGAAAGCUGGGCUGGGCGAGGGGAGCACCCUCCCUCCAAAAGCCCUGGAGAGCUCUCCAACGGCAGUCUCUGCUGCCCUGGGGGCUGAUGCUCUGCCUUCUCCUGCUCCUUGGUCCGCUCCACCUUUCCUUAAAGAGCUACAGCGUCCCGCAGAAGCCGGCGAGUCAGUUUGGGGAAUGUCUAAAAGAAGCACUCACGGCUCCAACAAGGAGGGGCUGUCGCCCUUUAAGGACUUCCCUGGGCUGGAUUCCGAGCUCAGUUUAAAAAUGCCAACUCACAGAGCGCGCUGGGUUCUGGGAGCGACGGUGUCGGGCUGAGAACUACACGGACCAGCAUGCAUUGCAAACGCAGACGCCGUGACUUUCGCCUGCUCUUUAGGACUCUCGUUUGACGUAGCGCUUUUCCAAGAGGGUCGCUGACGCGGAGGGCUGGGCCACACCUUUCCGUCUAUUGGCCGGCUCGUCAGUGGGUGGGCGUGGCUACGUGCAAUUCAGCCCGGCAAAAGGGUGGCCUCCUUGCCAAUCAGAGCCAGGGCGCCCGGAGAGGCGGGACCAGGGCGAGGCCCCGUCGACCCGGGGUGGGCGUGGCCACGUUGCCCAGCAGUGAGUGGUGAUUGGCCCCGGGCGGUGCAUUCGCAGCUCGUGCGUCACGACGCCGCCAGCUGAUCGGCGCCUGGAGCCGGUGUGUGCUGGGUGCCGAGAAGAGACAGCGCCGCCGGCCGUGGGGAGCGGACGCAGUGAUUUGCUCCCCUUCGCGCAGCAACCCCCACACCCAGCACCAGGAGCCUGUUCAUCUCACACCCUCACCUGGCUGAGCCGCAGUAGUUCUUCAGUGGCAAGCUUUAUGUCCUGACCCAGCUAAAGCUGCCAGUUGAAGAACUGUUGCCCUCUGCCCCUGGCUUCGAGGAGGAGGAGCUGCUUUCCCCAUCGUCUGGAAGGUGACAGAAAUGGGCUGGGAAGGUCCGAACAGCAGGGUUGAUGAUACGUUUUGGGGAAGUUGGAGAGCCUUUGCCCAGAUUGGCCCAGCAAGGAGCGGUUUUAGAUUAGAGACACUGGCUGAAUUGAGGAGUAGAAGGCUCAAACCCAAGGUUAGUUGGUCUUUGUGUGACAAUGGGAAGAAGUGGAGAGAACACUCUGUCUCCCCGACUUCCUUCUUGACCCUCCUUCCUUAUCUUUCACUCUUCCCCACUGGCCUUUCCAGAUGAGGCCCAAAAGUAAGCUCACUCUUCAGGGGAAAGUGAUACUAAACCUGGGUGUGAGGGGUCAUCCUUCUGCUCUUACUUUUCCCUGCAUUUCCUUAGGCUGGCCCAGACUCUAGAUUCCUGGGCACUUACCUGUAUCUGAGAUCCGUAGACCUCCUGUCUCAGCUUCUCCACCUGUGAGAUGGGCAGUCACACAGAGGGAAUCAGAAGCCCAUCUGUGUCGACUCAGAACCUGGGCUCUCCCCCUGCUGUGGGUGGAAACAAAACACCUUUUCACAUAAGCUGUUGUCCCUCCCCCAUCCCCGAUACCAUCACCCAGGAGCUGGGUGGAGGAAUGGGAAGCUGGAGGAGGGGGUUAGAGUUAGACCAAUACAAGGAGCUAAUAAGAGCUCGCCUCUCCAUGACUUCCCCCCAUGCAAGGGUGGCCCAAGGCUUCCCCUGAUAUCCAAAGCAGGACAGCAGUCCCUUGGUGGGGUUCUAACUGCCGCUGCUCUGUUUCUUUCCUCACUUUGCUUUCCAAGGUGGUAUGUGAUCCCCACCUCAGACCUGUGCAGACAGGAAAUUCUCCCCUGCAGCAAGUAGGGGAGGUGGGUUGUGGGAUGUGACCUCCUCCUGGGUAUCAGGCAGUGAGUGUAAACCUGCCACCUCCAGCCCUGAUCCAUUCUCACCUAGCGGCUACAGGAAGCUGUGUCUGUUGGAUUUGGUGGGAGGAGAUGUGCAGGGAGCUGUAUCUUGCCCUCUGCUUGUGAAAAACUCAAGGAUGUGGAGAAGAGUAGACCGCGGAACCCUGCCCUUCUGCAGCCAAGCUGAGGGGCAGGAUGCGUGGGGGACAGUGGUAGAGGAGGGGGCGGGAUAGACUCAUAGGCUGCAAAAAGGUCACUCUGUCCCUGGACACUGCCUCCGUACUUUCUCCUUCCUGCUUCACUGGCCACAGCAUCUCCCUCCAGCCCUCGCUAUGUGCCUCUGCCAUCUUCACCCAUCAUGGAGCAGAGGCGAGGAAAGGCAGCCUGGGAAUGUGGAGACCAGUGAAGGACCAGGCCUGGAGAGCACAGGGUCCUACCUGGGCAUCCAACAGAGGAGCCCCUAAAGGCCAGGAGCACCCUAAGAGGAGGCAGGACAGCCAGCCUCCAUCGACGGCGAGCCUCCAGCCCUCUCCUACUUUGAUCACCAUUUCUCUCCAGGCUUUCUGCCUCCGAGAUGUGGCACCAUAGUGCAGUGCCCUGUGGCUUCACCGCCCUACUUCCACCUCCGCCCAGCCUGUAAUGUUUAUAUAAGCAGCCUCAAGGACCAAGAACCAUCUGCGAAAGGACACACACAGGAGAUUCAUAAAAGAAAUCCGAAUGGAUAAAAGCAGAAAAAAAUGUAUGCUUCAUUAGUAAUUAAAGAAAGGCAAAUAGAGCUGAAAGCAUUUUUCCCUUAGCAAACCAUAACAGAAGAAAAUAAGACCCAAUAUUGGCAAAGAGACUACUGAAAAAACAUUCCCAUACAUUGCGUGUGGGAGUAUACAUCAGUGCAGGCUUCCUGGAUGACAGUUGGGUGAUACGUGUCAUGUGGCCUAAAAGCCUCCAUGUCCUUUGACCUAUGAAUUCUAUCUUUGGGAAUUUAUCCUAAGAAAAUAAUUAAGGAUUUAGUUAUUGAUAAGAUGUUCAUCCCAGCACUGCAGUGGAGAAAAAUGGGAAGCAAUGGUUUGGUUGGGAAUUUAUUCCUUUUCCGCUGUAACGAAAGUUUGCAAUGGGGGAUUGCUUAAGUAAAUCAUUGUAUCUCCAUCCAGAUGGUGGAGUAGUGCGCAGACAUUAAAAGUCAUGUAAAAGAACAUCUGACUGAAAGAAAAAUGCUCCUUGAAUAUUAAAAGGUUGUAAAAAUAGUGCAUGUUAUGUGAUUUCAAUUUUGUUUUUUAAAAUAUGGGUGUAUACUUGUAUACAUAGAGCAGAUAAAAAAGACGGAAGGCACACUAAAAAAUGUUUAGUGGUUAUCUUUGGAUGGUGGAACAAAGUGACUGUAAUUUUCAUCUUUGGUUUUUCUGUAAUUUCCAAAUUUUCUACAUUGUGUAUUACUUAUAAUAAAUAUAAUUUAAGA